rnacentral:rRNA from 1 species
GUGAAGGAUGAAGGUCUUCGGAUUGUAAACUUCUUUAUUAAGGACGAAGAAAGUGACGGUACUUAAUGAAUAAGCUCCGGCUAACUACGUGCCAGCAGCCGCGGUAAUACGUAGGGAGCAAGCGUUGUCCGGAUUUACUGGGUGUAAAGGGUGCGUAGGCGGCUUUGCAAGUCAGAUGUGAAAUCUAUGGGCUCAACCCAUAGCCUGCAUUUGAAACUGCAGAGCUUGAGUGAAGUAGAGGCAGGCGGAAUUCCCCGUGUAGCGGUGAAAUGCGUAGAGAUGGGGAGGAACACCAGUGGCGAAGGCGGCCUGCUGGGCUUUAACUGACGCUGAGGCACGAAAGCGUGGGUAGCAAACAGGAUUAGAUACCCUGGUAGUCCACGCUGUAAACGAUGAUUACUAGGUGUGGGGGGUCUGACCCCUUCCGUGCCGGAGUUAACACAAUAAGUAAUCCACCUGGGGAGUACGGCCGCAAGGUUGCAACUCAAAUGAAU